rnacentral:sRNA from 1 species
CUCUCUGUACGGGAAGGAUGAGAAGCUUCGACCAGGGUUCGAUUCGAGCGCAGCGAGAAAGCGUUGCCGCAGGCAACGACCCGAAGGGCGAAGCGCGCAGCGCUGAGUCAUCCUUCCCCCACCACCA